ensembl:lncRNA
AGACAUCACUGCGAAAGAGCGCGCGAAACAAUUUCGUGCGAUUGCGAUUUCGGCAGUUUACGUAGUUUUUCCGCAGAAAAAUGUUUAAAAAACCACCGCAAAUUUGCCGAUGCAGCAAAAUCGAGCAUUUUAUGUGUCGUGUAAUCAGGAUGGCGACGGACGCAAACGCAGUUAAAGCGUUUAAUGAGAGACAGGCAGACAAAUCCAAAACGCGAGGCAACAUUGAUUUCCAGAAAACAGGCGAGGGUCAGGCAAUCUACAAACGAUAUAAACUAGGCUCGACAAGGAGCAAAAACGAGAAACAACGAACGGGAACGAGACGAGAAACGAAGCACGGAACGGCUCGGUAGAACACUAGCAGCCAAACGCAGAAACAAUACUUCGCCCUGAACAAAGACACAAGGGGGUAUAAAUACACAACGAAAUCAAAGCUAAAACAUAAACAGCUGUGAAUAACGACCUCACGUGAGGGAGACGUCCAAUAACACGACAGGGGCGGAGACACGAAAUGACCACCCGGAAGCUUGCGAUGUCGUGCUACUGGCUGUUGAGGGCAAAUCUCUGACAUUUUGGCCUCAAUAAUCAUAAUCGCUCCUUUAUGGACCGAUUUCUCACAGUGGCUGUUGAUAAGGUGGUUGGGCAGGUUGUGCACUAAGUAUAGGGUCGGCGGUUCGAUUCCCGGCCCACGUGACUCCACAUACCAAAGUGUCGUUGGGCAAGACACUGAACCCCAAGUUGCUCCCCAUGGCAAGUUAGCACCUUGCAUGGCAGCUCUGCUACCAUUCACAAUUACAAUCGGCUUGUAGCUACGUGUGUCGCGAAAGUAUAUAACAAACAUGAUCAUAAACACAAAUUUAUCCCACUGCACAUGCAAAUUAGCGCUUGUUAUUUUGUAUUUUAAUGACUCGGGGUGUACAUUUUGCAUCGGUUUGUUUGGGAUGUGCGACGGUUGGUCACUUGUACAAAACCUUUCUUUAUGCAUCACUUACGAACACUUCACCGUGAGCGGAAAAUCAAAUGGGAUCUUUGUGUGCGGCGUCUUUAUUCGUUUUCCCACAUCUACUCUUUCAUCGCAGUCUCACUCUCCUGCUGCUUUUUGUCGUAUUAAAAUGUUCAGUCUCAGACAGAUGUGUGUGUGUGUGUGUGUGUGUGUGUGUGUGUGCGUAUGCAUUCACCGUUCAGCGUUCAGCAUGAUCAGUUUGAAGAUGACUUCUACUAAAGCGAAAGCGCUCUGCUGCCCUGAGGUUAAAAUCCCCAAGCAAAGGAGGCAAAGAGACAGUGACGGAGUGACAGCGAGACGACAACAGUGAACGAGGGCAGACAGACAGACGGGUGAAAAACGCAACACCGAUGCGAUGUAGACCAUCAGAUGUACACAGAUGCCAGAAAACGUAUCAUAACAUCACAUCACAUAAGAUUAACACAAGUGCUUUCACUUUGAAGGUACAAAAGUGGCAAGUGUUUAUACUCUGCUCAAUUCUGAUUGGUCAGAAGGUGCUGAUUCAUUUUCUAUAGCAGCAGCGCUGAGGGUAGUGCAUCAUCAUGCCACCAUUUCAUCGAAUAUAUUCCUAUAACAGCAUGACGCCCAAUGAUUUAGUCCUGCAUUAAUUUAGUCCUGGGUUACUGAAUGGAAGGUCGGGGGUUCAAGCCCCAGCACUGCCAGGCUCCGGGUUACUGAUUGGAAGGUCGGGGGUUCAAGCCCCAGCACUGGCAGGCUCUGGGUUACUGAUCGGAAGGUCGGGGGUUCAUGCCCCAGCACUGCCAGGCUCUGGGUUACUGAUCGGAAGGUCGGGGGUUCAUGCCCCAGCACUGCCAGGCUCCGGGUUACUGAUUGGAAGGUCGGGGGUUCAAGCCCCAGCACUGGCAGGCUCUGGGUUACUGAUCGGAAGGGUCGGGGGUUCAUGCCCCAGCACUGCCAGGCUCUGGGUUACUGAUUGGAAGGUCCGGGGUUCAAACCCUGGUGCAGCCAAGCUGCCACUGUUGGGACCUUUAGCAAGGGGCCCUUAACUCCCUCUGCUCCAUGGCUGACCCUACACUCUGACUUUCUGGUAAGCUGAGGUAUGUGAAGAAAAGAAUUUCACUGUGCUGUAAUGUACAGA